CGCGUUAAUGGCUGCCGGUGUGUAUGUUGUUGGAAGUGUAGUUACGGACUCUUACCUUUGAUUACAUCUAUGUAUUUUAUUUCUUCUAAGACAUUCAUACCCAAAACGUUUUGAAGGCUUUUUAUUACAAUGGACCUUCCUAAACCGCCUCAAGAAGUGGAACUACGUAACAUUAUUGACAAGUUGGCCCAGUUUGUUGCUCGUAAUGGACCUGAAUUCGAGCAGAUGACAAAAAAUAAACAAAAGGGCAAUCCAAAAUUUGGUUUCCUCUUUGGUGGUGAACACUUCAAUUAUUAUCAGUACAAAGUUACAACUGAACAAGCAAUUUUGAAACAGAAGGCAGCCCGUGACAGUGGAAUGGCCUCAGCGGGUGCAGCAUUAACAGCAGCAAUGCCUCCAAUGAUGAUGGGUAACACUGUAGUGUCAGCAGCUACCGGUGCUUCAGCUCCUCUGACGCUGGCUGCAGCUGCUGUUACAGCAGCCCAGUGGCUGGCUGUUGCCCAGCAGCAGCAGCAGGUGGCAGCAACUCAAAAUAUCACCUUAGAUUCACUCAUAGCUCAGCAGAACCAGCUUCAGGAACAGAUACGGCAGAGUGAACAAAACCUGGCAGCGCAGCAUACGGUCCUAUUGCAGCAGCAACAAGGACAGAUAGAGGAUAGUCUGCGGAAAGCACAACAGGAUGCCCUACAGCAAGCUGCUGAUGAGGCUGGUAUAAGUUUUACAGAGUUAGAUUCUGUACUACAGCCAAUUAUAGAUUCGUGCACCAAAGAUUCUAUUUCAUCAGGUAAAGGAUGGAUUUUGCAGCGUUCAUCUUCACCGAAAGCAGAUCAAGUAUUGGCACAGUAUCUCCUCAAGAAAGUGAUUAGUCCUGGAGCACCCUUUACACAGAAGCUGCAUAUAAUCUACUUGGUCAAUGAUGUUUUGCAUCACUGUGCAAGGAAGAAUGCAGAGGACCUGAAGAAGGCCCUGGAGGAAGUUGUGGUCCCAAUGUUCUGCAAUACCUCUAUUGGCAUUACAGAUGAGCAGCAAACCAAACUCAAUAAGUUACUGAAUUUGUGGGAGUCAAAAAACAACUAUUUUGAUGCUUCAGUAGUUGAGAAAUUGAAGAAUCCAUCCCGGUCAUGGUCAGAAUAUCAGGCUUCACUCAUUACCCAGCAUGCUGCUGUGAUCACACCCAUUACAACAACUACAAAACAGACAUAUGAAGGGUAUCAGGCACAGCAUCAAGCAUUUGUCCAGCAUGCAAUGCAGCAGAUUCAAACAUUGGAGCAGCAGAAACAGCAAUUAGAGCAACAGCAGCAACAGGCAGUUGGCACUGUAGCUGUGAAUCCUCCUGCUCCAGAACCUCAGAGUCUGCCCCCUGCUCACCUUCAGCCACAACAAUCACAGCAGCAACCGCAGCCACCACCAGCGUUGGCAGUGCUCUCAGCCACACAACAGCCUCCUCCUCCACCUCCACCACAUCAGAAUGAAGUAGGUCUUCCUCAGCAUGUACCUCCAUCAUGUCCACCACAACAUGGUCCCCCACCAGGUCCUCCUCAACAUGGUCCUCCACCAGGACCUCCUCAACAUGGACCUCCAGUACCCCCAAGUCAUGGGCCUCCAGACAUUAAUUUCAGUCAACCUCCCCCAGGAUAUCUUCCAGCAUUUCCGCCAGGUCUGGAACUUCCUGAUCUGAGUAAGCCACCUCCAGGAUUUCCAUUACCCCCAGUGAAUAAUCAGGUACCUCCUGAAGUUUCAAUGGAUGAAUUGAUGCCUAGUGUUCCAUACUUUGAACUUCCUGCAGGACUCAUGGUACCACUCAUUAAGCUGGAGGAUGGGGAAUACAAGCCAUUGGAUCCAGAUAAUAUCAGACUUCCUCCUCCUGCCCCACCCAGUGAGAGACUGUUAGCAGCUGUAGAGGCAUUCUAUGCUCCACCCUGCCAUGACCGGCCCAGAGAUAGGCGGAUUGUUGACAGUGAAGGCUGGGAGAAGCUGGGACUCUAUGAAUAUUACCGAGCAAAGAAUGCUGCCAGGAAGAAAAAAGAUGAUGAUAUUCUCGAGGGUAUAAGAGAACGUUCCAAGUCACCAUCACCAAUUAUACGUUUUAGAUCAAGAAGCCGUUCACCACCUAAAAAGCGAUAUCGCAGCAAAUCACGUAGUCGUAGUCGUUCCAAUUCGAAGACUCGGUCUAAAUCAAAAUCAAGAUCUCGCUCUAGAACACCACCAUCAGCUCUGAAACAUUAUAACAAUAACAGGACAAACAGUUCCAACAACAAUAAUAGCAGUGCUAGUAACAACAGUAAUAAUAACAGUAACAACAAUAGUAAUAGAAGAUCUCCUACAAGAAGACAAAACCGAUCAUAUAAGCCACAUUCAAGGUCUCGGUCCAGGUCAAGAUCACAUUCAAGAUCACGAUCAAGAAGCCCGCACAAUCGCCAGUCAUCACAGCAACGGAGUCCAGAAAGGAGUCCAACACCACCAUCAUUCCUAGGUUCAUCUUACAACAAGACAGAGGCCCAGAGGCAGUUGGAUGAGAGCAAUAAAGGUCACCAGAUGCUUCGAAAAAUGGGUUGGGGUGGAGCAGGUCUAGGUGCAAAGGAACAAGGCAUUGAACAACCCAUCUCUGGUGGAGAGGUCCGGGACAAAGUGGAUAUGUACAAAGGUGUGGGUAUUAACUUGAAUGAUCCAUAUGAAAAUUUCCGCAAGAGCAAAGGACAGGCUUUUAUCAACCGGAUGAAGGCUAGGGCAGAGGAACGGUUAUAGCAGGCAGCACCUGCCCCACUUGACCCGACUUAAGUCAGGUAAAUAUCAUUUAUAUUGCUGUCUUAGUGGAGUUAACAUAAACCACAGUUAUCCAGUGAUUUCAAAUACAGAAAUAUUAUGAUAUUCUAAAAAGCACAACUAACAGAUACAGGACUGCAAGUUCAUAUUACCCAAGUUGGGUAAUAGUUGUGAAGAAUUGGGUAUCACCAUAUUAAGAUGUUGCUCCAUAAGAAAUUAUGAAGAAGAAAAUAGAUUAGAAAAUUUAAAGUUAUGUGAAUGACACUACUUUGUAUAAGAGAUAUUGCAUAAUUGCAGUGUUACCUUGUGAAGGAAGUGCCAGUGUGUGUAUAUAUGUUACUUUUAAGAUACCGGGUUAUGUCUUUUACAAGACUGAUGAUACACUGAGUAUAUUGCAUUGAACAUAAGUUCGUACUUUCCAUCUUUUUUUAAGUUAGUCACUUGAUUUGAAGAGGUUCCAUUUGUGGAUACAACACUCAUUUGAAGAUGAAAUUAUAAACUGUGAAGUGUGGUCAUCAGUGGAGGCACAGCAUAAACUUAAAGUCUGGAAGCUGAGAAUGGAAGAAAUUAAGUAAUUUAUAUAUGUAUAAUAGGUUCUUUAAAUUGAAAAAUCUUGAUUGGUUGUGCAUUUUAUUAGUUUUAAUUAUUGUAUAUUGCACCUUAAUCAAUUUCAAUUUUUCAAUUCAAACUUGACCUGCCCCAGCAGAAUUCAUGCUUAGAUGUAUUGCUGUACAACUUUAAUUGAUAAACACAACUCAGAACUUAAUUCAUUGCUGUUUAUGUGGUUCAGCAUCAUCUUCCCUUCAGUCCGGUCAGAUGUCUAAUA